GCUAUACAUGCAAGUCGAGCGAACGGAUAAGGAGCUUGCUCCUUUGAAGUUAGCGGCGGACGGGUGAGUAACACGUGGGUAACCUACCUAUAAGACUGGAAUAACUUCGGGAAACCGGAGCUAAUGCCGGAUAACAUUUGGAACCGCAUGGUUCUAAAGUAAAAGAUGGUUUUGCUAUCACUUAUAGAUGGACCCGCGCCGUAUUAGCUAGUUGGUAAGGUAACGGCUUACCAAGGCAACGAUACGUAGCCGACCUGAGAGGGUGAUCGGCCACACUGGAACUGAGACACGGUCCAGACUCCUACGGGAGGCAGCAGUAGGGAAUCUUCCGCAAUGGACGAAAGUCUGACGGAGCAACGCCGCGUGAGUGAUGAAGGUUUUCGGAUCGUAAAACUCUGUUAUUAGGGAAGAACAAAUGUGUAAGUAACUGUGCACAUCUUGACGGUACCUAAUCAGAAAGCCACGGCUAACUACGUGCCAGCAGCCGCGGUAAUACGUAGGUGGCAAGCGUUAUCCGGAAUUAUUGGGCGUAAAGCGCGCGUAGGCGGUUUCUUAAGUCUGAUGUGAAAGCCCACGGCUCAACCGUGGAGGGUCAUUGGAAACUGGGAAACUUGAGUACAGAAGAGGAAAGUGGAAUUCCAUGUGUAGCGGUGAAAUGCGCAGAGAUAUGGAGGAACACCAGUGGCGAAGGCGACUUUCUGGUCUGUAACUGACGCUGAUGUGCGAAAGCGUGGGGAUCAAACAGGAUUAGAUACCCUGGUAGUCCACGCCGUAAACGAUGAGUGCUAAGUGUUAGGGGGGUUUCCGCCCCUUAGUGCUGCAGCUAACGCAUUAAGCACUCCGCCUGGGGGAGUACGACCGCAGGUUGAAACUCAAGGAAUUGACGGGGACCCGCACAAGCGGUGGAGCAUGUGGGUUUAAUUCGAAGCAACGCGAAGUACCCUUACCAAAUCUUGACAUCCUUUGAAAACUUCUAGAGAUAGAGCCUUCCUCCUUUCGGUGGGACAAAGUGACAGGUGGUGCAUGGGUGUCGU
rnacentral:rRNA from 1 species